CCUACGGGUGGCAGCAGUCGAGAAUCAUUCACAAUGGGGGAAACCCUGAUGGUGCGACGCCGCGUGGGGGAAUGAAGGUCUUCGGAUUGUAAACCCCUGUCAUGUGGGAGCAAAUUCAAAAGAUAGUACCACAAGAGGAAGAGACGGCUAACUCUGUGCCAGCAGCCGCGGUAAUACAGAGGUCUCAAGCGUUGUUCGGAAUCACUGGGCGUAAAGCGUGCGUAGGCUGUUUCGUGAGUCGUGUGUGAAAGGCGCGGGCUCAACCCGCGGACGGCACAUGAUACUGCGAGACUAGAGUAGUGGAGGGGGAAGCGGAAUGCUCGGUGUAGCAGUGAAAUGCGUAGAUAUCGAGAGGAACACUCGUGGCGAAGGCGGGUUCCUGGACAUUAACUGACGCUGAGGCACGAAGGCCAGGGGAGCGAAAGGGAUUAGAUACCCCAGUAGUC
rnacentral:rRNA from 1 species